rnacentral:rRNA from 1 species
UUGAACGCUGGCGGCAGGCCUAACACAUGCAAGUCGAGCGGAUGAAGGGAGCUUGCUCCUGGAUUCAGCGGCGGACGGGUGAGUAAUGCCUAGGAAUCUGCCUGGUAGUGGGGGAUAACGUCCGGAAACGGGCGCUAAUACCGCAUACGUCCUGAUGGAGAAAGUGGGGGAUCUUCGGACCUCACGCUAUCAGAUGAGCCUAGGUCGGAUUAGCUAGUUGGUGGGGUAAAGGCCUACCAAGGCGACGAUCCGUAACUGGUCUGAGAGGAUGAUCAGUCACACUGGAACUGAGACACGGUCCAGACUCCUACGGGAGGCAGCAGUGGGGAAUAUUGGACAAUGGGCGAAAGCCUGAUCCAGCCAUGCCGCGUGUGUGAAGAAGGUCUUCGGAUUGUAAAGCACUUUAAGUUGGGAGGAAGGGCAGUAAGUUAAUACCUUGCUGUUUUGACGUUACCAUCAGAAUAAGCACCGGCUAACUUCGUG